GUUGUAUAGUUAAGUGACUAAGCGCACAAGGUGGAUGCCUUGGCAAUCAGAGGCGAUGAAGGACGUGCUAAUCUGCGAAAAGCUUGGAUGAGUCGAUAAGAGGCGUUUAAUCCAAGAUGUCCGAAUGGGGAAACCCAGUAGAUGAAGAAUCUACUAUCACUUGCUGAAUACAUAGGCAAGUGAAGCAAACCGGGAGAACUGAAAACAUCUAAGUACCCCGAGGAAAAGAAAUCAACCGAGAUUUCGUUAGUAGCGGCGAGCGAACGCGAAAGAGCCAGUGAGUAAUAGCGGAUUUAUUAGAGGAAUGAGCUGGGAAGCUCAAUCAUAGAGGGUGAUAAUCCCGUACUCGAAAAUAUUUCCGUGGUACUAAGCUCACAACAAGUAGGGCGGGACACGUGAUAUCCUGUUUGAAGAUGGGGGGACCAUCCUCCAAGGCUAAAUACUCCUGAUUGACCGAUAGUGAACCAGUACUGUGAAGGAAAGGCGAAAAGAACCCCGGCGAGGGGAGUGAAAUAGAACCUGAAACCUUGUGCGUACAAGCAGUGGGAGCAGAUUUAUUCUGUGACUGCGUACCUUUUGUAUAAUGGGUCAGCGACUUAUAUUUUGUAGCAAGGUUAACUGAAUAAGGGAGCCGUAGGGAAACCGAGUCUUAACUGGGCGUAUAGUUGCAAGGUAUAGACCCGAAACCCGGUGAUCUAGCCAUGGGCAGGUUGAAGGUUGGGUAACACUAACUGGAGGACCGAACCGACUAAUGUUGAAAAAUUAGCGGAUGACUUGUGGCUGGGGGUGAAAGGCCAAUCAAACCGGGAGAUAGCUGGUUCUCCCCGAAAUCUAUUUAGGUAGAGCCUUAUGUGAAUACCUUCGGGGGUAGAGCACUGUUUCGGCUAGGGGUCCAUCCCGGAUUACCAACCCGAUGCAAACUGCGAAUACCGAAGAGUAAUGCAUAGGAGACACACGGUGGGUGCUAACGUUCAUCGUGGAGAGGGAAACAACCCAGACCGCCAGCUAAGGUCCCCAAGUACUAGUUAAGUGGGAAACGAAGUGGGAAGGCUUAGACAGCUAGGAUGUUGGCUUAGAAGCAGCCAUCAUUUAAAGAAAGCGUAAUAGCUCACUAGUCGAGUCGGCCUGCGCGGAAGAUGUAACGGGGCUAAAACUAGUCACCGAAGCUGCGGCAUCAAUGGAAACAUUGUUGGGUAGGGGAGCGUUCUGUAAGCGGAAGAAGGUGAGUCGAGAGGCUUGCUGGACGUAUCAGAAGUGCGAAUGCUGACAUAAGUAACGAUAAAACGAGUGAAAAACUCGUUCGCCGGAAGACCAAGGGUUCCUGUCCAACGUUAAUCGGGGCAGGGUGAGUCGGCCCCUAAGGCGAGGCUGAAAAGCGUAGUCGAUGGGAAACGGGUUAAUAUUCCCGUACUUGGUGUAAUUGCGAUGUGGGGACGGAGAAGGUUAGGUUAUCAGGGUGUUGGAUUACCCUGUUUAAGCUGGUAGUUGGGAAGAUUAGGCAAAUCCGGUCUUCUAUUAACAACGAGAAGUGAUGACGAGACUCUACGGAGUUGAAGUAACCGAUACCACGCUUCCAGGAAAAGCCACUAAGCGUCAGAUUACACUAAACCGUACUAUAAACCGACACAGGUGGUCAGGUAGAGAAUACUCAGGCGCUUGAGAGAACUCGGGUGAAGGAACUAGGCAAAAUAGCACCGUAACUUCGGGAGAAGGUGCGCCGGCGUAGAUUGUAAUCCCUCGCGGAUGAAGGUUGAACCGGUCGAAGAUACCAGCUGGCUGCAACUGUUUAUUAAAAACACAGCACUCUGCAAACACGAAAGUGGACGUAUAGGGUGUGAUGCCUGCCCGGUGCUGGAAGGUUAAUUGAUGGUGUUAUCGAAAGAGAAGCUCCUGAUCGAAGCCCCAGUAAACGGCGGCCGUAACUAUAACGGUCCUAAGGUAGCGAAAUUCCUUGUCGGGUAAGUUCCGACCUGCACGAAUGGCAUAAUGAUGGCCAGGCUGUCUCCACCCGAGACUCAGUGAAAUUGAAAUCGCCGUGAAGAUGCGGUGUACCCGCGGCUAGACGGAAAGACCCCGUGAACCUUUACUAUAGCUUGACACUGAACAUUGAAUUUUGAUGUGUAGGAUAGGUGGGAGCCUUUGAAGAUGACACGCUAGUGUUGUUGGAGGCGUCCUUGAAAUACCACCCUUUAACGUUUGAUGUUCUAACGAAGUACUCGGAACGAGUACUCGGACAGUGUCUGGUGGGUAGUUUGACUGGGGCGGUCUCCUCCCAAAGAGUAACGGAGGAGCACGAAGGUUGGCUAAUGACGGUCGGACAUCGUCAGGUUAGUGCAAUGGUAGAAGCCAGCUUAACUGCGAGACAGACAAGUCGAGCAGGUGCGAAAGCAGGUCAUAGUGAUCCGGUGGUUCUGAAUGGAAGGGCCAUCGCUCAACGGAUAAAAGGUACUCCGGGGAUAACAGGCUGAUACCGCCCAAGAGUUCAUAUCGACGGCGGUGUUUGGCACCUCGAUGUCGGCUCAUCACAUCCUGGGGCUGAAGUAGGUCCCAAGGGUAUGGCUGUUCGCCAUUUAAAGUGGUACGCGAGCUGGGUUUAGAACGUCGUGAGACAGUUCGGUCCCUAUCUGCCGUGGGCGUUGGAGAAUUGAGUUGGGGCUGCUCCUAGUACGAGAGGACCGGAGUGGACGAACCGCUGGUGUUUCGGGUUGUGUCGCCAGACGCAUUGCCGAGUAGCUAAGUUGCGGAAUCGAUAACCGCUGAAAGCAUCUAAGCGGGAAGCGAGCCCUGAGAUGAGUCUUCCCUGGCACUUUAAGUGUCCUAAAGGGUUGUUCAAGACUAGAACGUUGAUAGGCAGGGUGUGUAAGCGUUGUGAGGCGUUGAGCUAACCUGUACUAAUUGCCCGUGAGGCUUAACCAUACAACACCCAAGGGGUUU
rnacentral:rRNA from 1 species